rnacentral:lncRNA from 1 species
ACCGAGAACUAAGAUGAUUUUAAUGGCUGAAAGUAAUCGUUAAUGUGACUAACUUAGGUUUGAGAGAUGAAUAGAACAUUCUUAACCUCACAGCACCUAUAACUGAUGAAGGGUGGGCUAGUACCAGCAAAGGACGCAUACGACAGAAAUUACCACAAAGGGUGGUUAGGAAUUGCGCCCUGGGGUUAUUGGUCUAACCAGUUCGAGUUAGUCAUCAGAGGCCAGGUAUAGGAGGCUAAAGUAGGCACAGGAGGAGUUUUGACCAGGAUGGGAGUAGCUUUACAAGAUGGAUGCUAUUGGCAUCCUCAGGGAAGUUCCAGAUGAAUACAAAGCUAUGAAUCAAAUAUGUGAAGGCUUUUACACUACAUUAUUUUGGUAGUUGACAAUAAAUAAUAAUGUGGAUUGAAUUAAUGACAUAUUUUAAUCAACAGAGAUUCAUGAAUGAAACAGGGGAUGCAGUAAAGAGGUUCUCUGACCAAUUAUCCGCCACCUCCCUCAUGACCUGGUAAAAUAGACUGACUCUCGAUAGGUUACGGGCAAAGAAGAUGGUGUAGGUAGAAUGAUUAGGUUCAUUGCUGUACGUACAUUUUUGAUAACACAGCUCAUGUUUGGGAAAUGGAAAAGUGUUGCAAGAACUGUAUUAUGGGCUGCUUUCACCUGUAUGAGUGUGUUUGGGUUGUGUGGUUGUUGUUUGGUCCCGUGUGCAAGAGGUUUAAUCACCAGAACUCUAGAGAGAUGAUAACGGAGUACGGACCGAGUCAAAGUUCAGAUCAAUGAGAUGACAAGUACCUACCGCCGAGCAAGAUUGUUCUUUUUUGUCACGUCUUGCAGACGUGAAGAGGGGGAUUUGUAAUAAAGAUAAUCUAACGUUUUACCUAAUGAUAUAUAAGGAGGGCAUUUGCACAACAUGUUUCACAACAGCACACAACAAAAUUCCAGAGACAUAUUGAGCAACCAACUGAUACCAAUCACGACCACACCCAGAGACUGAUGGCGGACUAAGCACUCACACAAAAAUGUCAAGACAUGAAAGCACCCUAGCCACACGAACUGACCACUGGUGUAAAGAACAACAUUCCAUGAAUAUCGCAAGCACCCAGACACGAAUUACCAGAAAUACACACACACACACACACACACACACUUAGGUGUGUUGGACUCCGAGGACAAAGGACACUGCCAAGGGCCAAUGGGAAGUCGACACCACCUGGA